UGGUCGUGAUCGGCCUCACACUCCUGUACAGUAGGUGGCGUUGUAUGCACAUGUCAGUUGGUUGCGACCCCCCCCGAAAAAAAGAAGUCGAGGAAGCGAGCCGACGUUCAGCCUUUUUCUCUCGCGAGGAAGGACGCCGUUAUCGGAAUCCCUACAAACAACACGAGAAUUCAUCAUUCACACGGUCUGAGUGAUGUCGGACCAAGAUUUGGCAGAUAUGGUACAGAUAGCAGUGGAGGACUUGGGCCAAGGCGACCAGACUGAUGUUUUGGACAAUCAUGAAGAUUGUGAUGACAAGCCUGACAGGAAAAGGCCAAGGGUGGACAACAGCUCCCAGGACACAUCUCUAAAGACCUUGUUGUACUCCAUUAGCCAGACGAUCUGCCAGCGUCUGGACAACAUGGAGGCUAAGCUGCAGAUGGUGGAGGCGACGUGCCGGGCCCUGGAGAGGAAGCUGGAUGCUGUGGUCAACAAGAACCAGGCGCCCAUCCAGGUCCCCAUGGUGGCCGGCUCCCCUCUGGGUGCCACCCAGACCUGGAAUAAAGUGCGUUGUGUUGUUCCACAGACCAAUGUGAUAGUGAGCCAAGAUCGACCGAAGGGCCAGGAGGAGCCAGUAACUCGAGGGGCAGAUUCCCUGGAGAACCUCCUCAGCAACACGGUGGGCGGGCGGAGGCAGAACACGUUCCUCGUGAAGGUGCCGGCGCCGGAGGACAGCCAGGAGGACCAGGAGAGCGGUUCAGAGGCCAGUGACUCUGUGUCCAACAGCGGCCAGACCAACAACGCCCAGAGCACCCAGAACGUCACCCUCAUCACCCUCAACUCAGAGGAUGACUACCCAGCAGGUACGUGGCUUGGCGACGAGAACAAUGCAGAGAUGCGCGUGCGCUGCCCGGUGUCGCCGGGCGACAUGCUCCACAUCAGCACCAACUGCCGCACGGCAGAGAAGAUGGCACUGACACUGCUGGACUACCUAUUCCACCGUGAGGUGCAGGCUAUCUCCAACCUGUCGGGCCAGGGCAAGCACGGCAAAAAGCAGCUGGACCCACUCAUGAUCUAUGGCGUACGCUGUCACCUGUUCUAUAAGUUUGGCAUCACUGAGUCAGAUUGGUACCGUAUCAAGCAGAGCAUCGACUCCAAGUGUCGCACUGCAUGGAGACGUAAGCAGCGCGGCCAGAGUCUGGCAGUCAAGAGCUUCUCCAGACGUAGUGCCAACGCACCGGGAAGCUCAGAGGGUGGCGCUGUGGUGGAGGCAGCCCAGCAGACUCUACACUACACCCUGGCCAACCAGACUGUCCAGCAGGUCCAGAUCCAUCGCAUAGGAGAGGACGGACAGGUGCAAGUGAUCCCUCAGGGACAUCUCCACAUUGCCCAGGUGCCACAGGGGGAAGAGGUGCAGAUCACACAAGACAGUGAGGGGAACCUUCAGAUCCACCAGGUGCAUGUUGGGCAGGAUGGACAGCUGUUUUGUCUUUUUGUGCAGGGCUGGGCUGACUUGCCUGAAGACUGGAAAAGGGUUGAACUUUUGAUGGACCGCAGAUGGAUAUGACAGAACGUGUAGAUGAAUAUGACAGAACAUGUAGAUACAGAUGCAUAUGACAGAAUGUGUAGAUGCAGAUGCAUAUGACAAAACGUGUAGAUACAGAUGCAUAUGACAGAACGUGUAGAUGCAGAUGCAUAUGACAGAACGUGUAGAUGCAGAUGAAUAUGACAGAAUGUGUAGAUGCAGAUGCAUAUGACAGAACGUGUAGAUGCAGAUGACAGAACGUGUAGAUGCAGAUGACAGAACGUGUAGAUGCAGAUGCAUAUGACAGAACGUGUAAAUGCAGAUGCAUAUGACAGAACGUGUAGAUGCAGAUGAAUAUGACAGAAUGUGUAGAUGCAGAUGCAUAUGACAAAACGUGUAGAUACAGAUGCAUAUGACAGAACGUGUAGAUGCAGAUGCAUAUGACAGAACGUGUAGAUGCAGAUGAAUAUGACAGAAUGUGUAGAUGCAGAUGCAUAUGACAGAACGUGUAGAUACAGAUGACAGAACGUGUAGAUGUAGAUGCAUAUGACAGAACGUGUAGAUGCAGAUGACAGAACGUGUAGAUGCAGAUGAAUAUGACGGAACGUGUAGAUGCAGAUGCAUAUGGCAAUGUCUCUGUGGUCAGUGUAUUUAUUUUCUCACAGUAGGGUCAGUUUCCCUGUGGUCAGUUUUUGUAUAGUCCGUCUGUGAUUACCGUUAUUCAGACUACGAUCUAUUGCCCUUCAGUCAGUCAGUGUACGUUCACUCAGAUGUCACUCACUCAGCAAGACCCCUCAGAUCAAGGCUAUUUAUUGCCCUCUAAGUGGUCAGUGUAUAUAUGGACCCUUUGUCCAAUCACAUACACUCCCUGUCAGUGUGUGUUUAUAGUCCCACAGUCCAUUACAAUAAUUACAAUACCACAGAGCAGUGGUCCUGGAGCAGAUUUGAGGAGUUAAGUGCCUUGCUCAAGUGCACAAUGUCAGUAGGUAGCACAUGGAAUAUUGAAGCCAGGAAGCCUCCAGCUGCCGGCUCAUUCCCUGCAGAAUUCCUCCGUCAGCCUUGGGAUUUGAACCGGCAACUCUCUGUUUACUGGCCCCCCUUUUCAAGACUACCUUCACCCCCCAAUCACCCUCUCUGUAGUUCCCUAUGUUGCAUCCGUUUUGUGGCUCUCAUCUGGCUAGUGUAGCCAGGGAGUCUUCCUUCUCAUCUAAUAGUUCCCAUCAGCCCGGCUGGGACUGGCGUGUCCUGGUGAGUCGGCAUCAGACAUUGUGGUGAAAAAGAAAAAUAUGGCAAAAUCUUCCGGAGCCUGACACAACCCACCAGGCUCCAGGGGGGUUAACACGACUCACGAAUCACGUAACCGAGUCACCAACUUCAAAGCGAAGGUUGUGGUUUGGUGAGGGGGUGGAACAGGGCGGGUUGAUACGGUAAGGGGGGCACAAACAGCAUCUGUAAUUGGGGUUUGAGGUUUGGGUUUUUUCUGCAGACAAGCAGAUUCUGAUUCAUCCCCAAAUUGUGAAUGUCUGUUAAGCCUGCACCCAGCUGCUCUGCUCUACUCCACUCCACUGGCAUGGGAGUAAGUCAGACUGGUUAAAGCUGGAGACAAAGCACACAUGGGAGUAAGUCAGACUGGUUAAAGCUGGAGACAAAGCACACAUGCAAGAGGCCAUGUAGGUCAUGCAAGGUGGAGAGAGAGACAUGUUGUAGUGCUGUGUAAGGUAGUAAUCGCAAGAGAGAUGCAUGGUUUUAUUUAAACGCACACACAUCGAGUUCACUUAAUAUUUUCCUCCAUCAAUCUUGCUGGGUCAGGUGUGACAGUAUGAUUGUAUGUUAGCUUGGCAUGUCUGUUCAAAUAUUCCACAACUUAUUACAGUAGGCCUACUGUAUGUUAUUAAAUUAGGCCUAGACAUCAUAGCUCUUACACUAGGGCCUUGGGGCUAUAGGGUGUGUGUGUGUCAAUGUAAAUCUACAGGAAUACUCCAUACCAUGUUGCAGCUGUACUAUCCUGCUCUGUUAUUAGUGAGUGUGUUAAAUGCCGAGCUUUGGCACAGCUUGGCUGUAGUUCAACACAACAGGGUUUAGGGGUCUCCCCUUCUCUAGAUGUUUCUCUCUUUCCCUCUCCUCUUUUUCUUUUUUUCCCAUCUCUAUCUCAGGUGGCGAUGAGAGUGACAUGUUCAGUGAUCUGUGUGUCCCGGUGCUGCGUGGGGCCCAGCUGAUAGCGGUGGCGUCAGCUGACGGGGGGGCCACAGCAGUGGAGGGCUCCCCCCUACAGGCCAGUGACAUACAGGUGCAGUAUGUCCAACUGGCCCAAGUCAACGACCACAACGCUAC